GCCGUGUCUCAGGCCUCUGCUGGUGGUAGCCUGAAGACAGUGUGGGUCCUGAGGCAGGGGACACCAGUAGAGGCAGCGAGGCUGCCAGCCUUGGUGGCUGGCAAGUUCUGAGAGUGGUCCCACUCUGGCCCCCAGGGAUCCCUGUUGCUAGGCAGCAGCUGCUUCUGUUACUUAGAGAUUAAGGUUGUAAAGUCUGCCCCAUCCCAGAACUUUCUGGUGAUUUUGGAGUUGGUGUCUUGGUGCAAAUGGUGUGCUAAAUUGCCCACCUACUGUCUCCUGAACAGCAGCUUCUCUCUAGGCCUGUCAGGUCCACCCAGGAAAAUUGACAGACCACUGACCUUGUCCAGGAUAGAAUCCACUUCUCAUAGAAAUGUCUACCAAAGAAAACAGUGAACAGAAAUGUAUGCGUUUAGCUUAGCAAUAGCAAAUGUGAAACAGACCUAAGUCAGUACUCCUCCCUGGACAACUUCUAACAACCCUUAAGAGCAAAGGAGGAAAGGGUGAAUGAAUGGUUGCAGGUGUUGG
rnacentral:lncRNA from 1 species